rnacentral:rRNA from 1 species
GACGAACGCUGGCGGCGUGCCUAAUACAUGCAAGUAGAACGCUGAAGGAGGAGCUUGCUUCUCUGGAUGAGUUGCGAACGGGUGAGUAACGCGUAGGUAACCUGCCUGGUAGCGGGGGAUAACUAUUGGAAACGAUAGCUAAUACCGCAUAAGAGUAGAUGUUGCAUGACAUUUGCUUAAAAGGUGCAAUUGCAUCACUACCAGAUGGACCUGCGUUGUAUUAGCUAGUUGGUGGGGUAACGGCUCACCAAGGCGACGAUACAUAGCCGACCUGAGAGGGUGAUCGGCCACACUGGGACUGAGACACGGCCCAGACUCCUACGGGAGGCAGCAGUAGGGAAUCUUCGGCAAUGGACGGAAGUCUGACCGAGAAACGCCGCGGGAGUGAAGAAGGUUUUCGGAUCGUAAAGCUCUGUUGUAAGAGAAGAACGAGUGUGAGAGUGGAAAGUUCACACUGUGACGGUAUCUUACCAGAAAGGGACGGCUAACUACGUG